AAAACCCUCCUUCACUAUUCACGUAAGUUUUCAAACCCUCAAGAACUCAUUCUCUCUCUCUCCUCGUCGCUGCUCUCCUUCUUCACGUCGUUGCUCCAGCCGCCGGUCUCCUCGCCGCCGCUAGCCGCAGCCACCAUCUUCUCGCUCCUCCGCCCAACCGCGUCGCUGAGCCGCCACCCUAUUGUCGCCGCCACCGCAAGUAGCACCACCGUGUGCCGCCGUCGCACAGCCCCUGCCGCAAGCCACCUCCGUUCGCCGGCCAACUCUCUCUCCUCCUUCUUGAAUUGGCGGAGAAUUCUCUUUAGGCGACUUUUGAAAGUGUUAAGGUGGCCUAUCAGUUUGUUUACACAAGUCUCUAAGGAUCAAUAAGCGUUGCCCAUCUACAGGUUUGAAGAUGAUGCAUCAUUGGGAUCGGGAUUAGAGAGCUUGUAGUUAUAUUUUCUUUAUUAAGUGAUUUGGUUUGUUAACUUAAAUUUGAAAUUUGUCGUACUAUUCGUAUUUCCUUAUUUCAGUUAAUUGGUUUUGGACCUAAUAUGUAAUAAGAUUAUUUAUGAACCUAAAAGUUAGUUUUAUGUUUUC